UGAGAAAAAACUGGAUACUACCAUUUAUAAGACUACUGAGUGAAUUUUACUGUUUUUUUAAAAGCAGUUAUUUUUGUCCUUAUGCUAUAUCUCACUAAGUCUAUAUGCUUUUUA